GAGUGGUGUGUGUGAAGGCUUGGGUGUGUGUGGAGGGGAGUGUUGCGUGAGGGUGUGAGCAUCGAGGGAGGGAGGAGUGUUCUGUGGGAAAGGUGAGUGUGAGAGGUGUUCUGUGGACAAGUGAGUGCAGGUGAAGGUGUCACAUGACGGAUUGUGACCUUAGCCACCCCGAGCUCCGGGAGGGCGGCAGAGGGGUGUCUGGGCAGGUCCUGGAUCUCCCAGACAGGGCUGGGCGGGGCGGGGGUCAGGUCCCACCCUUCCUAUCGUCCAGACCCAGGAAUCCAGUGUUUCCACAUCAUGCAUCACUCUCCUGAAAGGGGCCCCUGAAAGGGAACCAACUGGAAGGAAGCCUAAGUCCUGAGCCCCAGAGAGGGAGAGGCUCCUGUGGAUGCCUCCCACGCCCUAGCGUCUAGCUUCCCCACCCCUGCUUCCCCCCCUCUUCCUGCCCCAGUCUCUUUUGUGUCCCUGACUUUCCCCGCGCGCUUCCCACUUCUCUCCCAUCAUUGUUGCUGACUCACCCCUCCAGAUUCGGGUCCCUUCUCCCUCCUGGGGAGUGGUCUCCCUGAGCCCACUUCUGUGGGACCUUGGAGACCCGGUGCAAGUUUAUCACCCUUAGAACCCGGGAAGAGUGAGAAACGACGGAAGUGCCUCCAGGGAGCUCCGGCCAUCAGAGUAACCCUCCCAUUCAUCUCCUGUCUCAGAGCCCCCUGGGAGAGGCAGAUGCUGCUCCUUAGAACAACAAAGUAGUCUUGACCUUUUGGAGCUCGGGAGAAGAGACUGGAAGAACUUGGACAUGAGGUCUGGAGCUCUGGCAGCCAUCUCGGACUAUGAGGCAAUCUUGAGAAUGGAAGCAGAGAAGAGAAGGCAUCUGGGCUCCUGGUGACUGUAGAACUGUCCUAGUGGCCCAGGACUUCGGAUCACUAGACUUUUGUGUGACAGAAUUAACUUUCUGCCUUGCUUAAAUGCUUGUUAUUUUG